AGUGAACGCUGGCGGCGUGCCUAAUACAUGCAAGUCGAACGGAGUGGCGCACGGGUGAGUAAUAUAUAUCUAAUCCGCCCCUUGCUGGAGGACAACAGUCAGCAAUGACUGCUAAUACUCCAUAGCAAGGGAUGAGACGUUACCGUUUCAGCUAGUCGGCGGGGUAACGGCCUACCGAGGCUAUGACGUGUUACUGGUCUGUGAGGAUGAUCAGACACGUCUGAACUGAGACACAGGCCAAACACCGACGGCAUGCAGCAGUAGGGAGUGUUGCGCAAUGGGGGAAACCCUGACGCGGCAACGCCGCGUGAAGGAUGACACUUUUCGGAGCGUAGACUCCUUGUGGUAGGGAAGCGGGACCUAUCGAAUAAGCACCGACUAACUCCGUGCCAGCAGCCGCGGUAAUAC
rnacentral:rRNA from 1 species